UCUGGCCUCCACCUCCUCCUCCUCCCAGCUCUGCCGCUGCCGCCGCCGCCGCCGCCGCCGGAAAAGGCGCCGAAGAAACCGCCUCACUUCCCCUCCCGAUCACGCAGGCGCAACAAGGCCGACCGUUCAACGAGAGCGACCUCUGACCCGUCCACGUUACUUAAAAGUAACAGUGUUACCAAGAGUUCCCGUGCCUUGGCGCAUUUUCAGCUUUUUAAGCAUAGUAUUCUGCAUUUGAUCUGCCUUACUUCCUGACUUGCUGGUAAGGGAUUCAGCUUCUCAAGGAGAUCUUUCUAAUGGCCAAGUUGGUGGUGAAAGCAAAGAUGAAAGAACUUUCCAUGUUACAGGACCCAGAGAAAAAAUUAAUCGUCCAAAUCUCAAGAAAAGGUGAAUCAAGGUUAGCCCACAGGGGCUUGUCUCUGAAAUGCAAAUAACCUAAACUGAGGAAAAUCCUGCCGCCUGCAAGUGAUCCUCCUGUGGUCAGCAGCGGCGAACCGGCAGCCUGUCAAAGGGCAGGGACAGGUGAGCUUUUGGGGGGAUGAUGCAGCCCAGUACCGGACCGCCAGAUCCUGGGACCCAGGUGGUAGUGAGCACUUUGUCCGCCUCGCCCCCUGGCGGCCGCCCUCGCUUCCCCUGCGGGCCCAGCCUCUCGCUCUCUGGGUAACCCCGCCUCUCGCCUCCUCUCCCCCUCUCCCCCUUCGCCUCCAGCGUUCCCAACCACUUCAGGUCCCUGACCGCCCCCUUCUCCUCCCAGGGCAGUCUCGCCUCUCUCUUCCCUCUGGAGGCCCCACCUUUCCAUGAAGUGGCCUCGCCCCUCCCUCCCCUGGUGGCCCACCUUCGUUCCCGGAGGCCCCGCCUUCCCCCUCCCAGGUUCCUCUCCCGUUCAGCAGCCCGGGAGUAAACUUGAGCGAUCCUGGCUGGCAAUCGUACCCAAGGUGCACCAGUUUUUUUUCUCUGUGACCUCUGAGCCUGCUUUUCUUCUGCCACAGGGAGCCUCCUCCUCGGGUGUUCUCUCGGGCCUAGCAACUGAGGCCUCUUUGGCCCUGGCCAGCCUCAGCCUUGUCGGGUAUUCUUGCCUGAUGGCUGCUGAGGACGUAAGCUCGGACCUCGCUUGCCCUAAAGCCCUUUCUCCCGACCUGGGCAGAAAGCCUCUUCGUCUGACUCCACGCUCUUCGUCGUUUAGUGUCCCAGAAGGAUUAAUGUAUAAAAGUUUUGAGCUCCAUGGAGUGGAUUUUUGUGGACGUAUGGAGACAAACCAUUUGGGAUGAGUGCUAAUGUUUAAUAAGCACCUAAAAAUUAACUCAUUCAGGUUAUGUUUUGAAGAAGCAAAACCUCAAACAGCCAGACAAGACCUAGUUUGUUGAACUAUUUACAAGUAAACAACCUAGGGGUGCCUGCCUGACUCAGAUGGACGAACCUGUGACUCUUGAUCUCUGGGUGCUGAGUUGGAGCCCCACAUCGGGUGCAGAGAUUACUUAAAUAAAUAAAAGUUAACUUUAAAAAAACGUGCACAUAGGUUAAAACAACAAGGCACAACCUAGAUAAUAAAUGGUGGCCAGGAUGUGGAGAAAAGGGAACCCAUGUGCACUGUUGGUGGAAAUGUAAACUGGUUCAACCAUUAUGGAAAACAGUAUAGAAGUCCCUCAAGAAAUGAAAAAUAGAGCUACCAUGUGAUCCAGCAAUCCCACUUCUGGGUGUAUAUCCAAAGGAAGCCAUUAUCUGGAAGAGACACUUGUACUUCUGUGUUUACUGCAGCAUUAUUUACAAUACUGAAGGUAUGCAAACAACCUAAGUAUCCAUCAACGGAUUAAUGGAUUAAAGAAAAUGCUUAUCUAUAUAUACAUAAUGAUGGAAUAUUAUUCAGUCUUUAAAAACAAAGAAAUCUUGGGGCGCUUGGGUGGCUCAGUCGGUUAAGUGUCUGACUUUUGCUCUGGUCGUGAACUCACGGUUUGUGCGUUCGAGUCCCACGUCCGGCUCUGUGCUGACAGCUCAGAGCCUGGAGCCUGCUUCAGAUUCUGUGUCUCCCUCUCUCUCUCUGCCCUUCCCCAACUUGCACUCUGUCUGUCUCUCUCAAAAAUAAAUAAGCAUUAAAAAAGAGACAGGGGGAAGGAAAUCUUGUCAUUUGUGACAUGGAUAAAACUGGAGGGCAUAUGCUAAGUGAAAUAAGUUAGGCAGAAAAAGAAAAAUACUGCAUGGUAUCACUUAAAUGUGGAAUUUUUUUUUUUUAAUGUCAAGCUCAUAAAAACAAGAGUAGAAAAGUGGUUGAGCAGGGGUUGGGGAGGGAGGAAAUAGGGAGAAGUUGGUAAAAGGGUACAAACUUUCAGUUAUAAGAUGAAAAAAGUCUGAGGAUCUAAUGUAUAAUAUGGUGACUAUAACACUUUAACACUGUAUUGCAUAAUUGAAAUUUGCUAAGAGAGUAGAACUUAAAUGUUCUUACCAAAGGGGGAAGAAAGGAAAUAUGUGAGGUAAUGGUUGUAUUAACUUGAUGGAAGGAAUCCUUUUAAUAUAUAUAAUAUAUAUAUUCAUGUUGUGUGCUUUAAAUAGCUUACAAUUCUAUUUGUAAAUUACAUCUCAAUAAAGCUGGAAGAAAAAGUUACAAAACCUUAAAAAAAAAAGUAAACACCAAUUCAGGCUUGUGAAUACUUGACUUAACACUGGAUGUUAUACAUAUUACUAAUCUAUAAAACAAUGCAGGUAAAAUGUAUAGAAUGAUUGAAAACUGGUUAGUGUAAUUGACCGUCAUUAGAUUUAAAUCAUUAUAAGCUAUGCAUCAAAUUGAGAGUCUUAUACUGCCACUAAAAGUAUAUUGACAAAUGAGAAAAACAGAACAUAAAAGUUUUAUUUACAACAUAAUUAUAAUAAAAGUGGAUAUGAAUAUAGAGGUUGUAGGAGGGCACAGGACUCAAACUAGAAAACCAGACCCUUCUUACAGGAGGUUGAGGCUGAUUUGUCCAAUCAGGGUAAGCUGCAGAUGCCUAUAGCUCUUUUUGUUCCUGUCCUUUCUAAGUUCUGGUUAGUUAGGGUUGUCAUCUGUAAGCUUCCCUAUAUCCAUUAGAGUAUUGAGUAUGCUACAAUAAUAGGAGAUUGCCCCCCUCAAAUACAGUAAUUUAAAUGAGACAGAAGCUUAAUUCUCAUGUAACAGUCCAGAGGUAGAAGUGACCAAGGCUGGCAGGGUGGCUCAGCUCCAUUAGGUCGUUAAUGGACCCUGGUUUCUUUCCUCUUGAUGCUCUGCUAUAUACCCUAGGAUACUUUCUUUAUUUGCAUAAAGCUGGGGCACUGCUGUGGGUUUGCACUGGCGCCAUCUAGCUCUGGGGAAGGGCAAAAUAGCAGAAGUAGAGGACAAAAGAUUUAUUUGUAAGCAAAUGAUGCAGAGGCUGCAACUAUCACUUGCACACAUAUUCCAUUGGUGAGAACUUGAACACGUUUGGUUGUGGGAGAAACUGGGAAAUGUGGUUUCUGAUGUGGAGAACAGAGGCAAAAAAAAGUGUAGAUAAAAUUAAAUUUCCUUACAACUUGCAGCCCACUGACAAAUACUUAAGACAGACUGAGUAUGACAUUCCUCUAGGAACACCCAACUGUCUUAAUGUUAAUACUUUACUAGUGGCAAAGAGGAACCUUAGCUUGACAGAAGCUAGGCCUCCAGGAUCCUGUAAGUCUUAACAUAAUGAAAAUCCUUUUGGAAACUUUCUUUGUCUCUACUGCCCCAACAAACUUAAAAGUAUAUAACUGGUUGUUCCUCACAAUCCCAGUGCAGCUCUUUCGGCCCACAGGUUCUGUACCCAUGCUUUAAUAAAACCACCUUUUUUUGCACCAAAAAUGUCUCAACAAUUGUUUCUUGACCUUUCACUCUUGGACCUUACAUCAAAUCCCAUCAGUCUCUAAGUGGGGUUUCAUCUACCCAACUAAAUAUUAGUAAAAGGUGAGAACAGACAGGGAUAUUCUGCCACAUUUCCCCCAUUUCCUUUAAAUCAGUUCCUUCUUCAGAGGAGUUCCUUCACUUUGGUUUACACAUAACCCUUAUUGCUGGCAAUCGAAGUACCUUAACUGAUAGCUCAUUCUUCAGGUCUCAGUUUAAAUGACACUUUCUCAAGGAGGCUUACCUGACUACUUUCUCUAAAGUAUGUCCCUUCCCCAUUCUUGCCAUCAUUGCUUUUCUGUCAGCACUUUGUUUCCUGAAUGAUACUUAUCACAGCGUAUACACUGGGAUAA